AGAACGAACGCUGGCGGCGUGCCUAAUACAUGCAAGUCGCGCGAGAAAGGUCCCUCGGGAUGAGUAGAGCGGCGCACGGGUGAGUAAUACAUAGGAACGUACCUUUUGGUGGGGAAUAACCACGGGAAACUGUGGCUAAUACCGCAUAAAGACGCGAGUCUAAAGUCGGCCUCUAUUUAUAAGCUGGCGCCAAUAGAGCGGCCUAUGUCCCAUUAGCUAGUUGGUAGGGUAAUGGCCUACCAAGGCUACGAUGGGUAACUGGUCUGAGAGGAUGAUCAGUCACACUGGGACUGAGACACGGCCCAGACUCCUACGGGAGGCAGCAGUAGGGAAUUUUUGCACAAUGGGCGCAAGCCUGAUGCAGCAACGCCGCGUGAGUGAAGAAGGCUCUUGGGUUGUAAAGCUCUUUCGGCUGGAAGAAGGGGUAGCCUGCGAACAGUUGGCUAUUCUGACGGUACCAGAAGAAGAGCACCUGCUAACUUCGUGCCAGCA
rnacentral:rRNA from 1 species